UACGGGGGGGGCAAGCGUUGUUCGGAAUUACUGGGCGUAAAGGGCUCGUAGGCGGCCAACUAAGUCGGAUGUGAAAUCCCCAGGCUUAACCUGGGAAUUGCAUCCGAUACUGGAUGACUUGAAUCCGGGAGAGGGAUGCGGAAUUCCAGGUGUAGCGGUGAAAUGCGUAGAUAUCUGGAGGAACACCGGUGGCGAAGGCGGCAUCCUGGACCGGCAUUGACGCUGAGGAGCGAAAGCCAGGGGAGCAAACGGG
rnacentral:rRNA from 1 species